UACGGAGGAUGCGAGCGUUAUCCGGAAUCAUUGGGUUUAAAGGGUCCGUAGGCGGGCUGUUAAGUCAGGGGUGAAAGUUUGCCGCUCAACGGUAAAAUUGCCUUUGAUACUGACGGUCUUGAAUAUGUGUGAAGUAAUUAGAAUAUGUAGUGUAGCGGUGAAAUGCAUAGAUAUUACAUAGAAUACCGAUUGCGAAGGCAGGUUACUAACACAUCAUUGACGCUGAUGGACGAAAGCGUGGGUAGCGAACAGG
rnacentral:misc_RNA from 1 species